rnacentral:lncRNA from 1 species
CAAAAAGCAAGAAAUACACGAGUAUACUAGCCUCUUACCUUUGGAGGCCAUCAAUUCAAAGUCAAUGAAGUAGCGGCUUCGGUCGAUAAGGUGGUCGAAGUGCCGAAGUUUCAGAUGUCUCUUGUAAAUGUCCUCUAUCACUUCAAACUCCUCCUUGCUCAACUCGAACCUCGUACUACUAUCUACACAGCAAGCCUUAACAGUUAGAAAAAGAAAAUUUUGAAUACAGAAUGUAAACUACUUAGGCUGGGAGACUCACAAACUUCGUAGUACCCUGGGUCGGUACUGUGCAAGCCAAGGCUGUGUCCCCCUCCACUGCCUGCCACCUGCCCCUCACCCAGAACCACGAUUCCUUCCACUCCUUGAUGGAAGAAGGCAGCCCCACCACAAAUGGUGCGUGAGCCUCCCAAGGAGUUAAGUAUACUACACCCUUGACUCCUUACCUAUCACCCUAGGCUAGAAUAGGGUUAUGAAGACGUGGAGAGGUAUGUCCUCCCCAAGUGACACUUCCUUCCAUAGGAAGUAAGAGCCAACCAACUGGCUCCACCUAUUUGGCAGAACCUGGGUCGACGACAACAUAAAGUUUCCCAGCACCGCCCUAAAGAAGGGGUGCAAAGGAAGACGCAUACCUGCCUUAAACAGGCAUUCAUUCACCGCCAUACAUCCGAGCCUCAGAUAGCAGGCGCACUCAUGAGCCUUGAACACCAACAUUUCGACAUAAUGAGGUACACAGUACUUCUCCCCCUGAUCUCGCCUAGCCUCUUCAAAGUCAUAUUUGAAGGCACUCUGGACGCCCCCACUCCUCACUGUAAUAUACUGGCUCCUCGGUCAUAGCAUAUUGCUCGACCUCGGUGUCCCCUCUAUGACUCGUCCCCUCGUCGAAUAACACAAUAGUUACUAAUUCCCUACCUGAGGUGGACUCCAUAUCAGAAAAGAAUGAACUCAAUACAAGGGCUUUUCUAUGAAAAUACCUAUGGGAAAUGACUACGCCAACGGAGUAAUGUCGGAAAACGAGAAGAUUGACCGUUUGGAAGCCGAAAAACUUGAGCUUUUGAAGAAGAAAUCAAAUUACAAAGAUUGAAAAUCCAGAAAAAUGGGGGUCUCUCGCCUUUUAUAAAGGGCUAGGACGAACCCGAGUCGUCUGAUCAAUGUCCAUUGAAUGUGGACCCUUCAUUCUAAAUCAAAUCCGAGGUGUAGAAUUCAAAUGAUUUUUCAAACUUGCGCUUCGAUUCAAGCGUGUCCUCCACGCAUCUCUCCAAACGCGUCUACUUCUAGGUGCUCCAGCUGUGCUCAUAAUUACCACUUUAAUUUGACGACAGUAGAUGCCUUGGAAGUUGAACGGUCCAGUCACCUUUCCUCGAAAAUAUGCGUAAAACAUCAAAUUAUUGGCACAAUUGCCGAGAAACAAUCAUUGCCAAUGAGCCUCAGAAUUCAGCCUCCACAAGCCUCGCAGGUUCAGUUUCCCAACCACCUCGGCUUCUUCAUCACAAUUCAACCAAUCAAGCCUCGCAGGUUCGUUUCUCAACCACCUCAGCUACCUCAUCAGAAUUCAGCCUCUACAAGCCUCGCAGGUUCGGUUUCCCAACCACCUCGACUUCCUCAUCACAAUUCAGCCAUCAAGCCUCGUAGGUUCGAUUUUUCAAGCACCUCGACUUUCUCAUAAGAAUUCAGCAUCCACAAGCCUCACAGGUUUGAUUUCUCAACCACCUCAGUAUCCUCAUCAGAAUUCAGCCAAUCAAGCCUAGUAGGUUCGGUUUCUCUACCACCUCAGCUUCCUCAUUAGAAUUCAGCCUCCACAAGCCUCGUAGGUUCGGUUUCUCAAACCACCUUGGCUUCAUCAUUCUUCCACAACAGCACAUUUCAAACUCUAACCAUGAUAUAAAUAUCUAUACUUGGACUUGGGGGACUAUUAUUUGGGGUACAAAAAAAUUUCAAAAUUUUUUUUCAACUUAACUGACUGGCUUUACUCCAUCAAAGUCCUCGCAUUACAUAAAUGACUAUACUUGGAUUUGGUGGACUAUUGUUACGUGUUUGCACACUUGGGCAACACACCGGGGCCCACAACCAACUCAUGCCGAACCACGUGGCACUCAAGUCGAGGUCAUUUGCAUAGCCGAGGCCCACAAACCGAGGUCCACAGAAGCCUAGUCCCAUAUAUAUCGAGGCCUAUCUAUCAUUGCCUCUUGAGGAGCUCCCGAAGCCCAUAUGCCGAGGCCCUUUGAAGGUGGACGGGCCCUGUUGGUCGAAGCUCUGUAGCAGAGGUAGCAGACUCCGAAUCACAAAGCAGUAUCUUCCAUAGACACUUCUCCCAAGAGAUUCUCUGCACAAAGAUUUUAUUUGAAUGAUUGAUAGGACGUUUGUUAUGAGUAUAAAUGUUAAAUCUUGUCACUAGUAGAGGUGGCUCUACCAAUCAAUAAAUGUAUAGCAGGCUAGGUGCGACUGAUGCCUACAAUUUGACAUGUAAAUUAACCGGAUGAGGCCACGUGUAUCCCGAACUAAAGGUCACGAUCUAACUUGUGAUACUAUAAAUACUCUCCUAUGUACCCCAUACAAAGGCUAAUGCAAGAAUCAAUACAAGAAACCAUACUUUACUCAACUAUCUUUCUUAUUAUCUUGCAA